AAAUAUUUUUCAUGGUAUGUAAGGACCGUAAAACCUUGGUCUGCGAGCAUAAUUUGUUCCCGAAACAUGCUUGUGAUCCAAAGCACUUGUAUAUCAAAGAGAAUUUCCCCAUGAGAAAU